ACCAGGGGAAGCAUGUUGUAACUCUUCUUUUUGUUAUUUCUAAUUUUCAGUCUUUUAUCAUGGCUUCUCUCUCCUUCUAGGGAGUUUCUUGACAGCAAGAUGGAUAUCAGGUUCACAGUUCACUCCUGGGUGCCACUGUACACCCAAGAGUAUGACUGGCUGGGGCAGAUGAGUAGCUUUUCACCAGUGUGCCAAGACAUAACAAUGUAUCAGGAAGCUUCCAGGGGAUGCAGAUUCGAUACCUGGUUGCGAAACUAAGAUCCGUGUGGGGUAACUACACCUGCGCUUGGUAACUACUGAGCCUUUCACCGCAACAAAGGAUCCACAUGAUGCAGUGAAGAUCCUGAGUGCUGCAACUAAGAGCCGAUCCAGCCAGGUCAAAAAGAACAAUCAUGAAAACUCCCCCGGUGACACAGUGGGUAAGACUCCACCUGCAAAUGCAGAGGACACAGGUCAGAUCCCUGGCCCAAGAAGACCCGCC